rnacentral:rRNA from 1 species
AUCGAACGCUGGCGGCAUGCCUUACACAUGCAAGUCGAACGGCAGCACGGGGGCAACCUGGCGGCGAGCGGCGAACGGGUGAGUAAUGCAUCGGAACAUGUCCAUGUCGUGGGGGAUAGCCCGGCGAAAGCCGGAUUAAUACCGCAUACGCCCGAGAGGGGAAAGUGGGGACCGCAAGGCCUCACGCGAUUGGGUUGGCCGAUGUCCGAUUAGCUAGUUGGUGGGGUAAAGGCUUACCAAGGCGAUGAUCGGUAGCUGGUCUGAGAGGAUGAUCAGCCACACUGGGACUGAGACACGGCCCAGACUCCUACGGGAGGCAGCAGUGGGGAAUUUUGGACAAUGGGGGCAACCCUGAUCCAGCCAUUCCGCGUGAGUGAAGAAGGCCUGG